rnacentral:rRNA from 1 species
UGGCGGCGUGGAUUAGGCAUGCAAGUCGAACGCGAAAGGUUGCUUCGGUAACCGAGUAGAGUGGCGAACGGGUGAGUAACGCGUAGGUAAUCUAUCUUCAAGCGGGGGACAGCCCCGGGAAACCGGGAUUAAUACCGCAUGUGCCCUUCACCUAUUUGUCUGUUAUUAUUGAUCGAGAGGUUGGUAUGAAUCAUGACAAAUAGGUGAAGGGUAAAAGUGGCCUCUGACAUAAGCUACUGCUUGAAGCUGAGCCUGCGUCCUAUUAGUUAGUUGGUAAGGUAACUGCUUACCAAGGCGAUGAUAGGUAGGCGGCCUUAACGGGUGGUCGCCCACACUGGGAUUGAGAUACGGCCCAGACUCCUACGGGAGGCAGCAGUGGGGAAUCUUGCACAAUGGGCGAAAGCCUGAUGCAGCAACGCCGCGUGCGGGAAGAAGGCCCUAGGGUUGUAAACCGCUUUCAGUAGGGAAGAAAAUGACGGUACCUACAGAAGAAGGUGCGGCCAACUACGUGCCAGCAGCCGCGGUGACACGUAGGCACCAAGCGUUAUCCGGAUUUAUUGGGCGUAAAGAGCUCGUAGGCGGUUUGGUAAGUCGGGUGUGAAAACUCUGGGCUCAACCCAGAGAGGCCACCCGAUACUGCUAUGACUAGAGUACGGUAGGGGAGCGGGGAAUUCAUGGUGUAGCGGUGAAAUGCGCAGAUAUCAUGAGGAACACCAGCGGCGAAGGCGGCUUUCUGGGCUGUUGCUGA